rnacentral:rRNA from 1 species
AGAGUUUGAUCCUGGCUCAGAUUGAACGCUGGCGGCAGGCUUAACACAUGCAAGUCGAGCGGAUGAAAGUAGCUUGCUACUGAAUUUAGCGGCGGACGGGUGAGUAAUACUUAGGAAUCUGCCUAUUAGUGGGGGACAACAUUUCGAAAGGAAUGCUAAUACCGCAUACGCCCUACGGGGGAAAGCAGGGGCUCCUCGGACCUUGCGCUAAUAGAUGAGCCUAAGUCAGAUUAGCUAGUUGGUGGGGUAAAGGCCUACCAAGGCGACGAUCUGUAACGGGUCUGAGAGGAUGAUCCGUCACACUGGGACUGAGACACGGCCCAGACUCCUACGGGAGGCAGCAGUGGGGAAUAUUGGACAAUGGGGGGAACCCUGAUCCAGCCAUGCCGCGUGUGUGAAGAAGGCCUUUUGGUUGUAAAGCACUUUAAGCGAGGAGGAGGCUCCUAUAGAUAAUACCUAUAGAGAGUGGACGUUACUCGCAGAAUAAGCACCGGCUAACUCUGUGCCAGCAGCCGCGGUAAUACAGAGGGUGCAAGCGUUAAUCGGAUUUACUGGGCGUAAAGCGUACGUAGGUGGUCUUUUAAGUCGGAUGUGAAAUCCCUGAGCUUAACUUAGGAAUUGCAUUCGAUACUGGGAGACUAGAGUAUGGGAGAGGAUGGUAGAAUUCCAGGUGUAGCGGUGAAAUGCGUAGAGAUCUGGAGGAAUACCGAUGGCGAAGGCAGCCAUCUGGCC